GAGGUCUUAGCUUAAUUAAAGUGUCUGAGUUGCAUUCAGAGGAUGCGUGUUAAGAUUACGCAGGUCUUC
rnacentral:tRNA from 1 species